UGUUUUUAUGAUUUUAAGCCUGCAAGUCAAGCAUUACUGAAGCUGAAACCCAAUUGAAACAGGGACAGAUUAAACUAAAACAUGCACAAGCUGAGCUAAAGAGCAAGAAGUCUGAGCUGAAAGCAACAGAACAAGGUUAUGAAAAGGACAAGAAAGAAUUUGAUGCYAUUAACAAAGCCAAGAGUAAACUAGAGGCAGAGCUGAAAAAACUGAAUUAUGAAGUGGGAAAGGARGAUAAGUUGUUUGCUGAAAGGCGACAACUUGAAAGUAAACUCGCCAACCUGAAAAGUACAGUUAAUAGUAUAGAGGCCAAGUUUCCAAAUUUUAAGUUUGAAUAUAAAGAUCCUGAACCCAGGUUUGAUAGAAAAAAGGU